GUCAGAGAAUAUGUUGUGCGUGUGUGUGGCGUGUGUUCGUCCACAAGGUGUUUGGCGGGAUUUUACCCUGUUCGUUCAGGAAGCGCCCAGUCGCGAUUGUGUCGAACCGUAACCCACUAUAGACGCUCCCGUCCGUUUU
rnacentral:sRNA from 1 species